rnacentral:rRNA from 1 species
UGAACGCUGGCGGCGUGCCUAAUACAUGCAAGUCGAGCGAACAGAUGAGGAGCUUGCUCCUCUGACGUUAGCGGCGGACGGGUGAGUAACACGUGGAUAACCUACCUAUAAGACUGGGAUAACUUCGGGAAACCGGAGCUAAUACCGUAUAAUAUAUUGAACCGCAUGGUUCACUAGUGAAAGACGGUUUUGCUGUAACUUAUAGAUGGAUCCGCGCCGCAUUAGCUAGUUGGUAAGGUAACGGCUUACCAAGGCAACGAUGCGUAGCCGACCUGAGAGGGUGAUCGGCCACACUGGAACUGAGACACGGUCCAGACUCCUACGGGAGGCAGCAGUAGGGAAUCUUCCGCAAUGGGCGAAAGCCUGACGGAGCAACGCCGCGUGAGUGAUGAAGGUCUUCGGAUCGUAAAACUCUGUUAUUAGGGAAGAACAAAUGUGUAAGUAACUAUGCACGUCUUGACGGUACCUAAUCAGAAAGCCACGGCUAACUACGUG